rnacentral:misc_RNA from 1 species
AAAAUUUUUAUUCUGCUUGACAGGAGAGCUUGUGAUAUCAUACUAUAUAUAUUUGUAAAUUUUUUUUUUUUUUUUGCGUUUAAAUACAUGUUGUUUCAAUGUCUCUGUGAAAUCCGGAUUCUUUCAAGUACAUUAGCAUGUGCAUCUAUGGUGGGAAAAGUUUUUAUUGCAUUUUCCUUAUGUGUAUUUGCUUUACCUUAAUUUCCAGCAUUCUUGGAAAAGCAUUAUUGCUAUGGCUUUAAAAUGUCUGUUUAUGGAGCUCAUUUACACAUGAAGUCAAAUUAAAUAGAGUCACAAAGUAAUAUUUAAUAUUAUCUUCAAAGAAAGUGUAUUGUCUCAUUUAUCUUCACUUAUUUUGACAACAUUCGAUCAUUCCAUUGGGUAAAUGUAUUUUGACAAUCCUUGCAUAAUACUGAAAUAAAUUUUGGGUAAU